UUUCUACAACAAGCCGCUUGGCCCCUUACAGAAUGCUACUUUCAUUUUGAAGUGAAAAUUUAAGCUUGGCGGUUACUUUUUUCAUUAAGCCGCACGUCAGUACUCCUCUCAAUAUCAGACGAAACCUAGCCGACUCUCUCUUGAAUCCAUCAAUGAAACCCUAACCCUCUCUAAGCACAAACACGACUUUGACUCAAUCACAAAGGAUGAUUGUUUAGAGCUUCGUCUUUCGCAAGUUUCAGCUUCAUAACAAAAUCACCCAGAAGUUAUUUCUUCAAGCAUGGAGGAUAAGCCCUAACCCUCUCUAACCCAGGUGCUAUUUUCUAAUUUCUCUUUCAUCUCUGCCUUUCCCUGUAAAAUUGUAAAUGUUACUAUGUGCUGAUAAUUUCAAUAAAUUAAGUUUUCAUUAGUUUAUGGUGAGAUGAUUUCAAUUCAUGUGUUUACAUAUUCACUUGAUUGGAGGACUCGUAAGGAAAAAUGAUAUCACUACUCAUGUCCCUGGGUAUAAAUGUAUAACAUUGGACAAAUUUUCAGUUCGAAAGGGGGAAAAAUGAAGGCAAGUUUCAGCUUCAGAAGAAAUCGCCCAGAUUUUUGGAUGGGCUCAUGCUACAAGACUUCAAGCUCCUUUUGUUUAAGAUGGUUUUAAGUAGUGUAUGUUCAGGUCUUUGAAUCCUUUGUUUAGGAAUAUAUAGCUCAUUUUUGUCUCAGAUCUUGAAACAUUUUAUUUAAGAUACUAGCUUGUUUUGGUCCAAAUUAUUGGAGUUGAAAUUGUUUUAGAUGCUAAGACUCAUUUUUUUACGCGAUGGGCUUUAUUAUGUAUGUUGUAAACAAUACAUUUUUUGGUUGGUGUAAUUUAUGCAAUAUCAAGUAUUUA